UAAGACUAACAGAAGUAUUGGGAGCAUAAGCUUUCGUGGGACCAGCCCUCCACCACCUGGAAGACAAGUGAUGGCAGACACAGGAACACUAGAAUGCCCAUCACCAGGAAGAAGAGAAGGGUAUGCAAUUUACAAGUAGAAAUUGGGUUAAAGGAAAGGAAACUGGACAACCAUGGUACCCACGCUGGAGAGGGCUGGGUGAGCUGUAUACACCCCAGAUCCCUUGUUGGUGCAAUCCUUCCAUUCCACGCCUGUGGAAUUUUGGCAGGCCUGGGGAGGGAGAUUUACCUGUUUGAAGGAUGAAAGGAAAUGGCUUUAGCGCUGAUACUGCUUUUUAUGGGAGAACUCAGAUUACUCAGCAGCCCCAGAAGAAUAACUCCCACCACCUCAAAAGCAGUGGGGAGAGCAUUAGGAGCUGCUAGAGACUCUGCGUAUGUCUACACUGCAGCUGGGAUCGUGCCCCCUUGUGGUAGCGGAGCUUGCGCUAACAUGCUAAAAUCACUGGGCUGGCCACCUGAGCUCUGACUCAGGGGGUAGGGCAGGCUUGAGCCCGGGCGGCUAGCCUGAGCCUCCACCGGUGCCACAACCUCCAGGCAGCUCUUUUUAGUGCGCUAGUGUGAGCCCUGCUAGCAUAAGCCUGUCUACCUGGGGUGGAAGGCUCGCGCCCGGCUGCAAUGUAGACCUAUCCUCUGGGGCACAAUCAGCCUUGAGAGCCCUUGCCUCCAACUCCAAGAGACCCAUCCCCGUCUUUCAACACAUUGACUAGAAUGGCCUUCUGCUGGUGGGCUGUUUGUUCUUUGUCUCUGACCCCGUGGAGCGUUGGAGAGUGGGCGGCUGGCUCGUGGUGUGACAGCAGGCAGUUUAGACCAUUAGGAUACAGGAGGAGAGGGGUUCAGUAGCUUGUAGGUGUGUGUAGCGGGGUGGUCACCCUGCUCUGGUCAGGAAGGGGUUAAAAACAGCCCUGGGAAAGGGCUGCCCCGGAGAGCCAAUCAGGAGUGGGUUUGAGGUGGCCAAUCAGGGCCGGACUGGGCCAGUAUAAGAAGGGCUCAGGGUAGAGCUGGGAGAGUCUCACUCCAGCCUUGGAGUGGGAAGGACCUAAGUGCCUGGCAGCACAGGGUACCUGAAGCAGAGCAGUGCUGGGGGAAAGGGCAAGAGGAGCUGGGGAGUUCCAGCCUGGUAACUCCCCAGGCUGAGGCCUUGGUAAAGGCCCAAGCAGGUACUGGGGCUACAGAGGUGCAGCCCGGGAAUAGGCAGAGGCAGCUGGUCCAAUCCCUUUGCCAAUGAUCUGUGGCCAUUAUAGACUGCAGUUUGCCCCAGGGAAAGGGGGCUAGAUGAUGACUGGCAAUAACCACUGAGGCAAGGUGGGCUUAGGGGGUUGGGGGUUCCCCUCAGAGGGGAGACCUGAGUGUGGGGGUGCUGUGGUGGGCAGAAGCCCAAGGUGAGAGACAUGGGCCUGAGGCAGGAGAGACACUGGCCAGCAGGAGGCGCUCCAAGUGCUGGAAAGAGCUAAUUCCCAGAUUGACCAGCAGGAGGCGCUGUGCCAGUGAGUCAGCGACCUUGCUACAGUGUGGAAGAUAUUUUGCAUAUAUGUCUAUUUCCCCACAACCUUGUCUCAUCUCUUUAGAGUAUAAAAUCUUUAGAGCAGGGACUCUCUCUUCAUAUGCAUUUGUACAGCACCUAACACCGCUUGGGUGCAUAAGUAACAUAGAAAGUAACUGAGAUAUAUCUGGAAGAAAACCUAAAGCCAGCAUAUAAACAAUCAUUGAGAGAAUGAAACUGAUUACCUUUUUC